UACGAAGGGGGCUAGCGUUGUUCGGAUUUACUGGGCGUAAAGCGCACGUAGGCGGAUCGAUCAGUCAGGGGUGAAAUCCCAGAGCUCAACUCUGGAACUGCCUUUGAUACUGUCGAUCUGGAGUAUGGAAGAGGUGAGUGGAAUUCCGAGUGUAGAGGUGAAAUUCGUAGAUAUUCGGAGGAACCCCAGUGGCGAAGGCGGCUCCCUGGUCCAUUACCGACGCUGAGGUGCGAAAGCGUGGGGAGCAAACAGG
rnacentral:rRNA from 1 species